rnacentral:rRNA from 1 species
CCGUAGGGGGCCCUCUUUGCUCUUCCUCCCUGGUCUUCCCUCUCGUUUCUUCUUUUCUUCCUUUCUUCUUUUCCCUCCCCCUUCUCCCCCUUUUCCUUUCCUGGGAAACCUCCGCUCUUGAGGCAGGUAGAGGUGACCGGAACGUGUGGUGGAGCGGUGAAAUGCGUAGAUAUCACACGGAACGCCGGUGGUGAAAACGGGUCACUGGGCCUGUCCUGACGCUGAGACGCGAGAGCGUGGGGAGCAAACAG